rnacentral:rRNA from 1 species
CAGUCGCCGCGGUAAUACAGAGGGUGCGAGCGUUAAUCGGAUUUACUGGGCUUAAAGCUUGCGUAGGCGGCUUCUUAAGUCGGAUGUGAAAUCCCUGAGCUUAACUUAGGAAUUGCAUUCGAUACUGGGAAGCUAGAGUAUGGGAGAGGAUGGUAGAAUUCCAGGUGUAGCGGUGAAAUGCGUAGAGAUCUGGAGGAAUACCGAUGGCGAAGGCAGCCAUCUGGCCUAAUACUGACGCUGAGUUACGAAAGCAUGGGGAGCAAACAGGAUUAGAUACCCCCGUAGUCCCUGUCUCUUAUAC